CAGAGGUCCCGAGCGUUGUUCGGAUUCACUGGGCGUAAAGGGUGCGUAGGUGGUGAGGUAAGUCGGAUGUGAAAUCUCCAGGCUCAACCCGGAAAUGGCAUUGGAAACUACCUUGCUGGAGGAUUUGAGGGGGGAUUGGAAUACUUGGUGUAGCAGUGAAAUGCGUAGAUAUCAAGUGGAACACCAGUGGCGAAGGCGAAUCCCUGGAAAAUACCUGACACUGAGGCACGAAAGCUAGGGGAGCAAACAGGAUUAGAUACCCUGGUAGUCCUAGCCCUAAACGGUGCUUGCUUGCUGUAAGAGGAAUCGACCCCUCUUGUGGCGGAGCUAACGCGUUAAGCAAGCCGCCUGGGAAGUACGGUCGCAAGAUUA
rnacentral:rRNA from 1 species